AUCUCAUUGCAGACCCCUGUGUAUCUGAGGCCUUCUGCAGGACUGCUUGCUUCUGCUGAUCUUAAGUUUCCCGGCAAGCUGACAUGUUACACAUGACUUCUGCUGGAAGACCUCUGUGACAUAUCGAAGUCAUCUGGAUGGGCUGCCUGAAAGAAUGGGUGAGGUGUUCAGCAUGAACAGUUACUUGGAAGCCAAAUUACAACCUAAAAGGAUAAUUAGCAUAUUUGACUCUACUGAAAUGUCAUAGUUUUAAUAUUGGCUCGUAGUGGGUUUAUGCUGCUUGAGUAGCCUUGGUUGGAGUUCUCUGUUUUUGGGGGGUUCCCUCUGGUAGUACUUAAACUUUGUGAAGAGCUUUCUGAAAGGAUCCGGGGUAUGGCCUCUCUACCUGUUGGAUACUAUUGAGAAUCUCCCUAUAUGCCGCGUUACACUGCUAAGCAACCCCCACCCUGUGCCUCUGAUCAGAGGAGCCCUGCUGUGACAAGCCAUUCAGGAACAAAAUAACGUAAUGGAUUGUGCAGGUUUUCAUCUAGAACGGGCUUCAGGUAUUUAAAAAUAUUUAAAAUGUUUUAAAGAAAAUGCUGGAAAAUUCAUAUAGAAAUUGCCAUGCGGCAAUCAGUUCAUGCCAGUUACGUUAGUAAAAUGAAAUGCAGAACAAGCAAGCUUUUGAGUUUGAUUUUUGUUUCAGUCUGUCUAGAGAACAUGGUGUCAAGUGCCCAUUUUUCUUUUAAGAAUAGCCUUAAAGACUUGAUUACUCUUUGAUCCUAGUAUUGUCUUGAAGGUAGUUCAAAGUUAUAAGGAGUUAUGUAUGCUGUAUCUUAAUGAAAUGCUUGUCUGAAAUUGUACUGAUAGCCUGCUGUGAAAAAAUCAAUUUGCCAUCAGCAAACUGAAUGUACUUGAUGCUCAAUUUAGUUCACCCAAGUAUUUCAUGUUCUUUCCCUAUGGUAAAACAAAAGGGUCCUGAGAAUUAAUUACAGCACUAGCAUCUGCUCAUGGCAGCUUUGCUGAUAGACUUCGUAGAAGAAGAUAGUUAAAGAGUGAGGGAGAUGGAGUGUGAAGUUUUUACCAGUACCAUUUCUUAUGCAAAUACAUUUAAAUAACAGACCUCUUUUCCUGUACAUAUUUUUCUUUUUGCCGUGGACAACUCACUUGCAUAUAAAACCAGAAGAUAUCAAUUGCUUCAAACUAAUUUGUGUUAUGCCAGGUUGUUUUUUUUGUGGAACAUAUUUCUAUACAAUUUUUGGCUGUGCAACGGAGUACUUGUUAUCUCAAUGCUGGUAAUAAUAGUUUUUCCUUUAAAGUAAAUUUCCAACUUUUUGGAGGGUCAAUAGAUGAAUGAGAAGUUUGCUGAAAUUACAGGUUCUUGAGAUUCCUGACUCUGAAUACGGUAGUAGAGUAAUUCCAGCCUGCUGUGUCAAGUACACUGUGGAACAACCUUGAAUGCUGGACAAGCAUAUUUUUAUGCUGUGCAAAAUCUCCAUUGGCAGUUUUGUCUUUUUUAGCAUUAAAAUGUUAGUUCAUGAAUGUGUCACCCUAAGCUGCCAUUUUAUUGCCUUGAACAUAGAUGGAAUGUAAUGUGGGCAUAAGGUGCAGCACAAGCCCCCAGGGUAUUGGUAAUUUUAGGGUUUUAGUAUUCUGUAAUUUUACACUUCAACACGUACCCAGGUAAAUAAAUCUCCACUCACCUGAGGUAGGAGUUGGAUCCUGGUUCCACUGAAAGACCUCAAGGUGUAAAUUCACUUUCUUGGAAUGCCUGAGAAAGUAUAAUCUCCCAAACCCAAGAGAUACUCAUUUUUAACUUCUCUAUGAUUUCUGUCAUGUUGAGUUUGAAACGUGUUCAUCCAUACUACUAUAGUUUGGAGGUAAUCAUCUUAGGUUUUUGUAGGAUAGUGCCUCAAAUUUGGUAUUAUCAUGAAAGAUGAUGAUGCUGGUAGUGGUAACAGAUUUAUUCUUGUUUGCACUGGAGAACAAUUUCAGUUCAUAUCGUUGUAAUAAAAAAGUUCAC
ensembl:lncRNA